GAGACGCGUCCAAGCUCAGGCCGGGCCCGAAGCGCCUGCUCAGGGGCUCCCUCCCCAGGACCCGGACCCCUCGCCGACUUCCCCCUGUCGGUUUCCGGCUCCCCCUCUGGUGCCAGCGAUUUCCUUUAAUUUUUGAAAUGACACUCCCUUGCAAGGGAUUCCACUCCCCCCACCCCCCACCCCCAUUGAUUUUAAGAGCUCUGCAGGAUUACUGGACGAAAAAGUGUAAAAGGAAAAUAAACAUUAAUCCGCGGUGGAUUCGCUCAAGAUAAAGUCGAUAUUGGGGGUGCUGCGGCGGAUGCGGCUUAUGCGGGAGUCUCUCUUGGGGUGUUUCCUGUUUGCGAUUUAAUGUUCUGAAGAAGAAAAAGCCUUCAAUCGUGAUCAUGAGUUUUACAGAUUGUCUUUACAUCGGACCAUGUCAGUUUUGAAUGGAAAUACCGUAAGACUUAAUUCCAAUGCUCAGUGGCCGAAAGAACACAAUUGCUGUUUCACGACUUGUCCCAGAGCCGGCCAGAGAGAUGAACACAGGCCAGACCCAGGAAGAUCACUCACUCUGGGAGAACCCAGCUGUUGACAACAAGGACAUCAAAGUUGCUGUUAUGCAGAGGGUCACCUGGUAAGAAACUGAGUCUUCCUACGAACAGCCAGCAAGGACAUGGGGCCUUCUGCCAACAGCCUUAUGAGCGGACUAUCAGGGAAGCAGCAUCCCAGCCCCUGCCCAGCCUUCGGAUGAAUGCAACCUCAGCUGAUGUAUCUUAACUGCAACUGCCGGGGAGAUGGAAUUCAAAAUAAAAUCUCCC